rfam:Bifidobacterium breve DSM 20213 genomic scaffold Scfld1, whole genome shotgun sequence.
GGGGUCGAUCGGUUUCGACGGUGACCUGUUCGCUGCAGGGAAGCGUGCCGAGAACGCCGGGUCCGCUCGUGGAUGACCCCGGCAAAAGAAUAAGUGCUAAAUCUAACCGCACUGAGUUCGCUCUCGCUGCCUGAUUUUUAGUCAGGAUUAACCAGUGAGCAGCCGCUCCGUUCACUCCUCUUCGUCUUUGGGAGGAUGCUGAGCGUCGUUAAGAAGACUUGCUGAUGGAGUUGAGCCUCAGGGCUCCAUCAGGACUUUUACUGCGGAUAUGCUCGCCAUCAGUUGUCUGCGACAGCGAUGGGGGCAGAAAAACCGCCAACUUGGCCAGCAGACUACGCACGUAGAAGACUGUGGGCUCGGUCAUCGGACCGGGGUUCGAUUCCCCGCGACUCCACGA